GAUGAACGCUGGCGGCGUGCCUAAUACAUGCAAGUCGAGCGAACGGACGAGAAGCUUGCUUCUCUGAUGUUAGCGGCGGACGGGUGAGUAACACGUGGAUAACCUACCUAUAAGACUGGUAUAACUUCGGGAAACCGGAGCUAAUACCGGAUAAUAUUUUGAACCGCAUGGUUCAAAAGUGAAAGACGGUCUUGCUGUCACUUAUAGAUGGAUCCGCGCUGCAUUAGCUAGUUGGUAAGGUACCGGCUUACCAAGGCAACGAUGCAUAGCCGACCUGAGAGGGUGAUCGGCCACACUGGAACUGGGACACGGUCCAGACUCCUACGGGAGGCGGCAGUAGGGAAUCUUCCGCAAUGGGCGAAAGCCUGACGGAGCAACGCCGCGUGAGUGAUGAAGGUCUUCGGAGCGUAAAACUCUGUUAUUAGGGAAGAACAGAUGUGUAAGUAACUGUGCACAGCUUGACGGUACCUAAUCAGAAAGCCACGGCUAACUACGUG
rnacentral:rRNA from 1 species